UGUAAAACUUAUACGUACCAAUUUUGAUGCACCAAAUGCGCAUUGCGACAAAUAAUGUCUCUUCAGUGAUGCUCAACCGAAAUGUUUGAAAUCCGAAAUAACAAUAAACUUGUAAGAGCUAUUUUAGGGAAAAUCAGAGUGCAAAAAAAACUGGAAUCAAAUUUGUCUAAGAAUAAGAGCUAUGCAUGAGGGAGAUAAUCCUUAAUUUUGAAAUGAAUUUCUAAAUUUUACGACAGCAAUUAAAUAUACAUCCGUAUUUUCAAGCUAGUAACGAAGUACUUAGCUACUGGACUGUAGAGAUCCUCGGGGACUAACAGUUCACCAGCAGAGGCCUCGACCCAGGGGUCAUAAUGGUAAACUUAUGCGGUACCAAUUUUGAUACACCAGAUGCGCAUUUCGACAUGUUGUUUGUCAUGGAUAGUGGCAUAUUCUAUAUAAUGUGACCAUUCAACAUGUUUCUUCAUACACAUUUUCUUUAAUGUUGAAUUGAUAUCUCAUUUCCCCCUCAUCUUGAUACGCAAUUUGUUUUACGUUUGGUCGGAAGUCAAUCAUCAAUGUAUUGGCCUUUGUUUUUUUUUUUUUUUUUUUUGGUUUUUUUGGGUUUUUUUUUUUUACUUCUGAUGUCUAUGUAAGUGUAUUUUCAAACAUGGACAGUUUGUGAACAUAUUUAUUGUCAUAUUUAUUCUUGUGGAGAAUCUGAGGGAUGAAAACUGUUCGUUCAUUAUACAUAAUUGAGUAAAUUAUGUAAAUGUAGACACCCCCACCCCCUAAGAAGUCCAGCAUUGAUAGGCACUUUAUAAAUGUAAUAUAGAUUAUUUGAUGCUAUAUACAAAUAAUGUAUAUGUAAUAUUAGUCUUCAGUGGGGUGUUUUCUUCAUUUUUUGGGGGUCAUUUUUAUAUUAACAGCAUUACUUAGAAGCUGUGGAUUAAAUGAUUAGUCACAGAAUGCCAUUGGAUACCUAUUUAGUUCUUGAACUAUCUCCCUUUAGUAGUGAGUCCAUUAUCAAAUUUACAUAAAAACAUCAAACAUUAAAAAAAUAUUAUAUCUUCCAGGUUAUUGAUUUGGAAUUAGGAAUUCAUCGUAACUGUUUGAAAGUGAAUUUAUUGCUUUGGUGAUCCAGCAAAUUUCAACAUUAACAAAGAGUGCAUCUCUCACAUUAUUUAACAUUUUAUGCUUUAUUAACAGUAGUUGGUGACCUUAGGAAGAGUGAAAGCUUAAGCAUAUCAAUAAAUAAUGCAAUUAGUUAAUAUUUUAAAUGUUUUAACAUUGAAAAUAUAUUAUCGUUAUUGAUCUACCAUUUGCACACAAUUUGAGGCACUUAUUAACAAAAAUCUAAAUAAAGGGCCUUUCAUUUCUUUUUCAGAAAAUUAGCUGUUGGCCACUACGAUUGCUAUGCAACCAUGACUUCCCGAAGAGUGAAAAGCUCCCACCUAUAGCUGUGAACAGACAGUAACUCUUUCCCUGUCAGGCAUCUUCUAACUCUGUUUUACAUGUCUGUGUGCCAUGACAUUUGACAAUGUUAUAUCUGUGAUAUAGUCACGUAGUGUUUGUGUAUUUCAACACUCUCUACUCAGAAUCAAAAGGUCUCAUUUUGUUCAUGUUGUGUAAUUUUUCGUCCAGUUGUGUGCAAAUGAAGUAGAUUGGGGUUUUUUUUUUUUGUUGUCAUAAUCAAGUUAAUUUAUAAGUAGCACUAGAUUUUAGUGUGAAGUUGUUGAUGUCAUAUUUUGUUAUUUGUUUAUUUUAUAUAUACAAGUUUAUCAUGAUUCAAAUUGUAUUUGGGGUCAUUUCUUUAGCAUUGGUUAUGUAAUUAAAAUGUUUUCAGCUAGUACAAGUGAUGCAAUGAUUAUAACGGAACCUCAAGAUUCUUAAACAACUUUGACAUGUAUUUUUUUUUCACAUAUACAUAUUUAAUAUAGGGUAUAAGACUUCAUACAAGUCUGUAAUUGCGUUUUAAAAAAAAAAAAAUUGAAUGAUAAUCGGCAAAGGUUUCAAUGGUUGUGGUACAGAUGUAAUCUCCGAGAAAUUCCAUACACAUGAAUUUCAUUGUACGUAUAAAUUAUCUGACAAUGAGUAUAUUUUAUUUUUACUCUGUAAGCAGCAAUUGCCAAAAAAAAAGUUUUAUUAAGAAAGUUAUGUGUAAACCAUAUACAGACUGGUAUAAAGAAUCAUAGGUUUGACUACUAUGCAGCUUUUAGAAGUUUUACAUACAAAAGUGCUAUAUUGACAAUAAAAUUUAGUCAAAUUCAA